CUGAGAUGUGUAUCAAUGAUCAAAAUUGGUUUAUACAACACUAUCAUGCCAACUUUGGCCUGAUUACUAAUAAGGCCAGAAACAAGGUACUGUAUAUGUUUCAUUUGUUGAUGUUGCGAAUUGUUAAUCUGACAAAUGGUUGUAGGCUACUGUAAAUGAGAAAAAUAAAGUCAAACUUGGAAACAGUAGAAACAACAGAAAACAACAUUAUUUAAAUACUGGAUAUGAAUAAACCAAAAUGUAGGAUAAUAAGUUACCAUAUUCCAGUCACCACUUAAUAUAAAACUGUGAACUCAACAAUGUUAAUGUGCCAUGCAAUUAAAUAAUCUACUGUUUAUACAUUCCCAGUUGUAGGACUGUACUGGUGAUUCUCGUCACCAUUUAAUGUAAAAUCAGGAACUCAACAAUGUUACUGUACCAUGCAAUUAAAUAAUCUACUGUUUAUACAUUCCCAGUUGUAGGACUGUAAUGGUACAGGGGUAGCUGUACUUAAAAGUUAUCACCUUGGUUUAUUUCCUUUUUCGUAUAUCAAUUUGUUUAAUUAAUAGAACCAAAA